rnacentral:rRNA from 1 species
CAGUCGCCGCGGUAAUACGAACCGUGCAAACGUUACUCGGAAUCACUGGGCUUAAAGCGCACGUAGGCGGCGACAUAAGUUAGAGGUGAAAUCCCAUCGGCUCAACCGUGGAACUGCCUCUAAUACUGUGUUGCUUGAGGGAGAACGGGGCAUUCGGAACUUCCGGUGGAGCGGUGAAAUGUGUUGAUAUCGGAAGGAACGCCGGUGGCGAAAGCGGAAUGCUGGGUCUCUUCUGACGCUGAGGUGCGAAAGCUAGGGUAGCGAACGGGAUUAGAUACCCGCGUAGUCCCUGUCUCUUAUU